GGCGUCCAGUCUGCCCUCUUCCCUCUGGCUCGAGGACAUUUAUAGGGGAACUUGGCAUUAUCGGGCGCGCCAUCCCGUCGGUCGGGGCCGUAUCUCUGAUGGCGUCCGACAUCGCCGAGGAUGUUGCGUAUGGGAUCGGGGAAUCGCAGGGUAUGGGCGAGCUUCAACCACUACCUACUUCUGUCUCGUCCUACUGUGUUGGGUUGACUGAGGGGCUGCGGGCUCAGUGAGGCUGACGUCCGGACGCAGACCGUUGCCCUCGUUGCUCUCCCUGGGGCGCCGCGCCU
rnacentral:lncRNA from 1 species